rnacentral:rRNA from 1 species
AUAUUAGUCAACGACAGCAUCUUUCCCACUGACAGAGCUUUACGAUCCGAGGACCUUCAUCGCUCACACGGCGUUGCUGCGUCAGGCUUUCGCCCAUUGCGCAAUAUUCCCU